GAUGAACGCUAGCUACAGGCUUAACACAUGCAAGUCGAGGGGAAACGAUAUUGGAAGCUUGCUUCCGAUAGGCGUCGACCGGCGCACGGGUGAGUAACGCGUAUCCAACCUGCCCAUCACUUGGGGAUAACCUUGCGAAAGUAAGACUAAUACCCAAUGAUAUUUAUAGAAGGCAUCCGAAAUGAAUUAAAGAUUUAUCGGUGAUGGAUGGGGAUGCGUCUGAUUAGCUUGUUGGCGGGGUAACGGCCCACCAAGGCGACGAUCAGUAGGGGUUCUGAGAGGAAGGUCCCCCACAUUGGAACUGAGACACGGUCCAAACUCCUACGGGAGGAAGCAGUGAGGAAUAUUGGUCAAUGGGCGAGAGCCUGAACCAGCCAAGUAGCGUGCAGGAUGACGGCCCUAUGGGUUGUAAACUGCUUUUAUAGGGGAAUAAAGUGAGCUACGUGUAGUUUUUUGCAUGUACCCUAUGAAUAAGGACCGGCUAAUUCCGUGCCAGCCGCCGCGGUAA
rnacentral:rRNA from 1 species